AGCCAGCGGAGUGUUCUGUAAAGCAGUUUUGAAAAAGAGGAAGCUAUGGCAAAGCAGCGCAUGAGGUUUUUGUGGCCACGUUCAUGGUGUGCUCUCUUCAGGAGGCUUCUCGGAAGAGUUUUAUUCGGUAGAGAGAGCAAAGGACUACUCAAAGAACAUUGGGCUUCGGAUUUCCACCUUUUUAUUACAGAGGCAAGUGCAGAUGUGGGAAGAAAUGCUUGGAGAAGCUGCAAAUGCGCAUGUUGCCUGCAUGGAGAAAGCUCCAGAAAGCAUCUCUGAUCGUCAUCUUCAACCAUCAUAGAGUCUUCAGUCAAGUUUUGCAGGUCUACAGUUUUUCAGUGCUCACUGAACACUGAGGAGAGCACUCGCAAUCUUUGUACAGAUUUUGCUGCUGGAUUCCUCCUGGCUCACAGCCAUCCAAACUAGUGGCUGCAUAGGAGGUAUUACUCUGCAUUGGCUUCAGCAGGCUCACCAAACAAAGAAAGCAUCUACACCAAGCCAAAGAUCAGAAGUUUCUAAAGAACAUGUGUAAAUGGCAACACUGUAAGUUUUCCAGCCUGGAUAAUUUUAGAUGUAUUUACAUGGAAUUAGAUAAGGCAAGUCUUAGAAGCCUUAAUUCAAAGUAUUUGAUUACCAAAUUUUUACAGGGCAAAUAGCCCUCAGAGUACCUUUUACAUGAGUUAAAAUCUACCUCACCCUAUAGUUAACCUCAGGGAGAGGAGAAUCAGCCUGACACAGAUACUCCCAAAGUCUGGCCUCAGAAUGAAAAAAUGUUUCAAUUGAAGCUAAUACAUUUUUUCAAGAUUAUAUGCAGCUAAGUGCAGAAUACUGUAAUAGGAAAUAUCAAGCAACCUAAAUAACAUGCUAUCCCACCAAUCUUAUCUAUAAAAUGCAAGACAUUGCUAGAUGUAGGUAAGUAAUAUAGCAUAUAUGUUGCUUAUGUGUAUAUGAGUUUAGGCUUCUGUCCUCCUCUCUAAUGUCACUUGUCUUCCUAGACUUUAAACUGUUGAAGAUGUAUGAACAGUAUCUGUUGAAAAGUCUGACAGUGGCCUCAGGGUCCAAUGGUAAUACUAAUACUGGAGGAGAAUGAUAAAUCUGUAAAUCACUUUGGACAUCCUAUAAAAUUUAUUCCCAAGUCAUUAUUUUGAAGUUUAGGACUAGAAGGUGUAACUGUUUAUUGUCCAUUCUAUUUUAAUCCAUUUGGGUAUAUCUUAGUUUUUCUUUUCCUCUUUUUCAGAUGUAAUGGUAAUUAAUUUAAGGUUCUGCACUAUAAUAACCAUUCCAGCAGCCAGGGCUCCAAUUUUAUACUGUCAAAGGAGGGUCUUCAUAAAACUUAU